GGGCAGAUGGCGGAGUCUGGUCUAACGCGUUGUGCUUAAGACACAAUGUUCCUCGAACUCGUGGGUUCAAAUCCCACUCUGCCCA
rnacentral:tRNA from 2 species